rnacentral:rRNA from 1 species
GCCGCGUGUGUGAAGAAGGCCUUCGGGUUGUAAAGCACUUUUGUCCGGAAAGAAAUCCUGAGGGCUAAUAUCCUUCGGGGAUGACGGUACCGGAAGAAUAAGCACCGGCUAACUACGUGCCAGCAGCCGCGGUAAUACGUAGGGUGCGAGCGUUAAUCGGAAUUACUGGGCGUAAAGCGUGCGCAGGCGGUUUGUUAAGACCGAUGUGAAAUCCCCGGGCUCAACCUGGGAACUGCAUUGGUGACUGGCAAGCUAGAGUAUGGCAGAGGGGGGUAGAAUUCCACGUGUAGCAGUGAAAUGCGUAGAGAUGUGGAGGAAUACCGAUGGCGAAGGCAGCCCCCUGGGCCAAUACUGACGCUCAUGCACGAAAGCGUGGGGAGCAAACAGGAUUAGAUACCCUGGUAGUCCACGCCCUAAACGAUGUCAACUAGUUGUUGGGGAUUCAUUUCCUUAGUAACGUAGCUAAC